GACGAACGCUGGCGGCGUGCUUAACACAUGCAAGUCGAGCGGAAAGGCCCUUUCGGGGGUACUCGAGCGGCGAACGGGUGAGUAACACGUGAGUAAUCUGCCCUAGACUCUGGGAUAGCCACCGGAAACGGUGAUUAAUACCGGAUAUGACACCUUGCUGCAUGGUGGGGUGUGGAAAGUUUUUUCGGUCCAGGAUGUGCUCGCGGCCUAUCAGCUUGUUGGUGAGGUAAUGGCUCACCAAGGCUUUGACGGGUAGCCGGCCUGCGAGGGUGACCGGUCACACUGGGACUGAGACACGGCCCAGACUCCUACGGGAGGCAGCAGUGGGGAAUAUUGGACAAUGGGCGGAAGCCUGAUCCAGCAACGCCGCGUGAGGGAUGACGGCCUUCGGGUUGUAAACCUCUUUCAGUACCGACGAAGCGUGAGUGACGGUAGGUACAGAAGAAGGACCGGCCAACUACGUGCCAGCCGCCGCGGUAAAAC
rnacentral:rRNA from 1 species